GACGAACGCUGGCGGCUCGCCUAACACAUGAAAGUCGAGCGAUGAAAUUUUAACCGGUCUCUUCGGAGAGAAGAUAAAAUGGAUUAGCGGCGGACGGGUGAGGAACACGUGAGAAACCUGCCUUUCACAAGGGGAUAGCCUCGGGAAACCGGGAUUGAUACCCUAUGACACAUUUCCUUCGCAUGGAAGAAAUGUCAAAACUCCGGUGGUGAAAGAUGGUCUCGCGCCUGAUUAGCUAGUUGGUGGGGUAACGGCCCACCAAGGCCAUGAUCAGUAACCGGCCUGAGAGGGUGAACGGUCACGUUGGAACUGAGACACGGUCCAAACUCCUACGGGAGGCAGCAGUGGGGAAUAUUGCACAAUGGAGGAAACUCUGGUGCAGCGACGCCGCGUGAGCGAUGAAGGCUUUCGAGUCGUAAAGCUCUGUCCUAUGGGAAGAUAAUGACGGUACCAUAGGAGGAAGCCCCGGCUAACUACGUG
rnacentral:rRNA from 1 species